CCUACGGGGGGCUGCAGUAGGGAAUAUUGCUCAAUGGGGGAAACCCUGAAGCAGCAACGCCGCGUGGAGGAUGAAGGUUUUCGGAUUGUAAACUCCUUUUGUUAGAGAAGAUAAUGACGGUAUCUAACGAAUAAGCACCGGCUAACUCCGUGCCAGCAGCCGCGGUAAUACGGAGGGUGCAAGCGUUACUCGGAAUCACUGGGCGUAAGGAGCGCGUAGGAGGGAUAGCAAGUCAGAUGUGAAAUCCUAUGGCUUAACCAUAGAACUGCAUUUGAAACUGUUAUUCUAGAGUAUGGGAGAGGUAGGUGGAAUUCUUGGUGUAGGGGUAAAAUCCGUAGAGAUCAAGAGGAAUACUCAUUGCGAAGGCGACCUGCUAGAACAUAACUGACGCUGAUGCGCGAAAGCGUGGGGAGCAAACAGGAUUAGAUACCCCAGUAGUC
rnacentral:rRNA from 1 species